GAGCGAAGGCGGAGUAAAGGCGCAAGUCGCUUUGGGAUGGGCCUAGGUCUGAUCAGCUAGUUGGUAGGGUAAUGGCCUACCAAGGCGAUGACGCUUAGGGGACCUGAGAGGGUGACCCCCAACGAUGGGACUGAGACACGGCCCAUACACCUACGGGUGGCUGCAGUCAAGAACCUUCC
rnacentral:rRNA from 1 species